CCUUUCCCAUUUGGUCUCUCUUCUCAGCAACUUUACCUCCUUACCUCUCUUUGACCUCCUUUCCUCUCCUUCACAGUUUGGCCCUUGACUUCGGGGCCUUCUUACCUUUCUUUACCUGAAAUGAUCUGCCCCUUACCCGGGUCUCCUUCACACCCUUCUCUCUGGUCCUAACCCUUCUGCGGCCAAGCCCAGCAUAGCUCCCCGGCUCGGCCUGGUCAGCUUGAGCUGUAUUUUGUUCGAGUGCCCCUGGCCUAGGAAAGGAGUGUGUAGUGUAAAGUGGGGCCAAGUGUCCCCCCGGGCUGGGGCCACUGCCUCGCCCCCUCCGCCCCUCCCGAGUCCCGGUUGCGGCGCUUCCUGGGCGGAUGGUUUGGACUUGCUGCAGCAGCUGCGGUUCUGCUGUGUCAUGCAAGAAGGAGGCGGCGGCGGCCGGAGCUGGAGUGGGAGGAGGGGAGGAACCUGAUCCUCCGGUAGCGAAGGGCUGGAGGCAAACACCGAGCUCCCCCAGAGCCGCCCGGGAGCAGGGAGGGCUCCGCUACCCCGAGGGGCCCUCCCCUAGGGGCCGAGGGUCCUGAGUGAUGACAAAAAGAGCAAUUUGCUUUCCCUCGUCUAUCCGAUCCCAUCACACCACCCUGAAUCAGUUGAUGGAAUCUGGGGAAUCCAUUUCCAUGCCCUAAAUUCUGUAAGAACCUCUUACAGAAGCCACCAGCUUCUCAGUUUGUUAUUGACUCUGCAUAAAGGUGUUGGCUGCUAUCAGCAGAAGCCAUAAAGAAUAUCACAGAGAAAAAGGUUGACUUGGUUGGGAGAACAUGGAAAUCUACAACAAAGUGUCCUUGAAGUAGAAAUUUUAGAAACUAAAAUAAUACAUGUACUUUAAGCGAUACUAAAAAUGCUGUGACAUCCUGUGUUAUUUAGUUAGACCAGAGGACAGCAAACAUUUUCUAUAAAGAGCCAGACAGGAAGUAUUUUAGGCUUUCCUGGCCAUGCAGUCUUUCUCAAUUACUCCAUUCUGCCACUAUAGUGAGAAAAUAGCCAUAGUGAUAGGUAAAUGAGCAAGCCAGUUGUUUCAAUAAAACUUUAUUCAAGUACA
rnacentral:lncRNA from 1 species